rnacentral:rRNA from 1 species
GCGAACGCUGGCGGCAGGCCUAAUACAUGCAAGUCGAGCGGUCCCUUCGGGGGCAGCGGCGGACGGGUGAGUAACGCGUGGGAACGUGCCCUUUGGUACGGAACAACUGAGGGAAACUUCAGCUAAUACCGUAUGUGCCCUUCGGGGGAAAGAUUUAUCGCCAUUGGAGCGGCCCGCGUUAGAUUAGCUAGUUGGUAGGGUAAUGGCCUACCAAGGCGACGAUCUAUAGCUGGUCUGAGAGGAUGAUCAGCCACACUGGGACUGAGACACGGCCCAGACUCCUACGGGAGGCAGCAGUAGGGAAUCUUGCGCAAUGGGCGAAAGCCUGACGCAGCCAUGCCGCGUGAAUGAUGAAGGUCUUAGGAUUGUAAAAUUCUUUCACCGGGGACGAUAAUGACGGUACCCGGAGAAGAAGCCCCGGCUAACUUCGUGCCAGCCGCCGCCGUAAAAC